GCGGCGUGAUGGGCAGGAUGCCCUUCGCUCCGACCACUGGCUGCAUCAAGACGGAGCUCGGACCUUGGAUGGAGGGCUACGCGGGCGCCUACGGAGACAUGAGGCUGAAAUCUGGA